GGAGUGCUGGUUAGGGUCAGAUCCACGCAUGCGCAGCUAGGGGAGGAGCCCAGGAACAAACUUACGGAGCUGUUUCCUCCAAAUUCCUCCCUCUCUGUGAUCUCCCUGGUCCUUUCCUGAUCGCUGGGCUCCCUUUUUCGGGCCUCUGGCCAAAAACUUGGUGUUGUAGUUACCCUGCUCUGCCGUGCACUUCCUACAACUGCACCCACAGUCGCGGCCAAGCAGCGAAGAUUUAAGAAAGUAAGAAAUUCUCUUAUACAAUUAAGGGGGCGUUGAAUGUGCCAGGAUGUAAAUCAGCAUCUUGCGAAGUUUUGUUUGCAACAUGUAUAAUGAAAACUGGAGACUAAGAACAGAAACUUUACAACGAAGUAGAUUCUACAAAGCAGCCUAAGUGUAAAGCUUCAGCCUGGACCCUCGUUGAAUUUGACAGCAAAGUGUCAUGGUUCCAAGACAGCAUCUGAUUCCGGUUCCCUGCUGUGGGUCUGGUUUUGUGUGGUUGUAGCAGAAUUAUGAGAACAAGCCUCCCUCAAUUUGGGCUACACUGUCCACAGUCACAGAGCAUCUUCCAGAGAAGAAAACACCUGCAAUGAUGAGACAGAAGGAGAACGGUGGCAUCUCUCACUGUAAAGGAAAGAACACUGGGGCCACAAAGUGUCAUCAGCCAUGUUCCUCUCCAGUCCAAGGACUCCCAGACACUUAGUGUUCCAGCUCCUGAGUGAAAAUGUUAACCAUCAGCACACUCUCAAAGAUCACUCACUCUAGGAAGUCAGCUGCCAUGUCAUGAUGAUGCUCAAGCAGCCUUGUGGAAAAGCUUCACAAGGAGAGGAACUGAGGCCUCCUGUCAACAGCCAUGAGAGGGGGCUGUCUUAAAAGCAGAUCCUCCAUCCCCAGUCAAGCCUUCAGAUGACGGCAGCCCCUGUGGACAUCUUGACCACAACUUCAUGAGACCCUAAGCCAGAAACACUCAGCUAAACUGCCCUGGAUUUCUGACUCUCAGAAACUGUGAGAUAAUAAAUGUGUGUUAUUCUAAACUAACAGUCUAGAAUAAACUGUUAUGCAGCAAUAAAUAA
rnacentral:lncRNA from 1 species